GACGAACGCUGGCGGCGUGCUUAACACAUGCAAGUCGAACGGAAAGGCCCUGCUUGCAGGGUGCUCGAGUGGCGAACGGGUGAGUAACACGUGGGUGAUCUGCCCCUUACUUUGGGAUAAGCCUGGGAAACUGGGUCUAAUACUGGAUAGGACCAUGCUGUAGGUGGUGUGGUGGAAAGAUUAGUUUCGGUAAGGGAUGAGCUCGCGGCCUAUCAGCUUGUUGGUGGGGUAAUGGCCUACCAAGGCGUCGACGGGUAGCCGGCCUGAGAGGGUGGACGGCCACAUUGGGACUGAGAUACGGCCCAGACUCCUACGGGAGGCAGCAGUGGGGAAUAUUGCGCAAUGGGCGCAAGCCUGAUGCAGCGACGCCGCGUGGGGGAUGACGGCCUUCGGGUUGUAAACUCCUUGCAGCCAUGACGAAGCCCUUGUGGUGACGGUAGUGGUAGAAGAAGCACCGGCUAACUACGUG
rnacentral:rRNA from 1 species